rnacentral:rRNA from 1 species
UACGUAGGGUGCGAGCGUUUGUCCGGAAUUAUUGGGCGUAAAGGGCUCGUAGGCGGUUUGUCACGUCGGGAGUGAAAACUCGGGGCUUAACUCCGAGCCUGCUUCCGAUACGGGCUGACUAGAGGUAUGCAGGGGAGAACGGAAUUCCUGGUGUAGCGGUGAAAAUGCGCAGAUAUCAGGAGGAACACCGAUGGCGAAGGCAGGUCUCUGGGCCGAUACUGACGCUGAGGAGCGAAAAGCGUGGGGGAGCGAACAGG